rnacentral:lncRNA from 1 species
CCUGGGAUUCAAAUGGCCUGGCAGGAAGUGCUCUAGCAGAGGGACUCUGGCCUUGCAAGAGUCCCUAUUUCCCCCUUUUUUUUUGCUUUUCACACAGUAAAACCCUGCUUUACUUCCCUUUGAGUCGUCUGUGAGCCUAAAUUUUUGUGGCUGUGGGAAGGACAAGAACCCCAUCUUUAGCUGAAAUAAGGAAAAGUUCCGCAACAUUUUUGGCACACACCCUGGGGGCUCCGGAAGUGAAAGUUCCCAGGAGAUGAAGACAUUGAAACUGCCAUCAUAAAAUUAAUAAAAGGUUCAAGAUUAGAAUUAUGGUAUUGGCCUGGAUUUUGUUAAGACAGAGACAUAGGAAUGCUGUCGGAACUGGACCUUGAUGAAGGAAAUACUUUCUGACUCAUUGGAAUUUGUUAUAGUCAAAUUUGCCUAUGUGAUAACUUAGGUCUUCACGAUGGCCCAGAGUAAGACGACGCAGGAGGACCCUUCUAGUCAUUUAAUUAUUGCUUGACCAGAACUGUGCCUUGUAAGAAAUGCUUGCUGUUUGGAAACUUGUGAAGACCUGCAUCCCUUUGUAUCUCAAAUAAAGACAGAGGUGUUUCCAGACCUAAGAAUAACAGGAACAUGGAGGAGUGGCAUCUCCAGUGUAGCCACCCACCAAAGCCUCAUCCUGAACACUAUGGCCUAGUGGGUCACUUACAGGGAUGUAGCUGGCAUUGAUGUAGUCAGAGCAAGGAUCAUCAUCUACAUUGGAGAGCUUCACUCGCGUGGCAUCAUCUGGAAGGAGAGAUUUGCUGCUGAGUCUUGGAGUGACUUUUCUACAGUUUAUGUGAUGUGUGUGAUGUGCCUUAGCUCUGAUCCCCACAACAGCCACAGAUGGGAAGUGAUCUUAUCUCCAUUUUGCAGAUGAGGCUCAGGCAGGAUAACUAACUUGCCCCAUGUUGCAUAGGUGGCCUAUAACCAGUCAGACACAGGAGACAACAUGAAGCCCCAUCUGUGCUUCCCUUUCUGACAUUACCACAUUUGCCUGAUGGAGUGGCCAGCUCCCUUUCACUGCUGGAAUGAAUACAAUCCAGAAAACCUACCUUCUAUUGCUUUACCUAAUGGGGUAAGGAAAUUUAAGUAGAAAUUGCUAACCGAAGACUUUGCUAAGCAAACCCAGGUCUGCUUGAUGUCAGAGCCCUUGCUGUUAACCCCAUUUACUGCUUAGCCUCCAAAGAGAAGCAAUAGCAUCACAUGGGGAAAUGUCAACAGCAUAAGAGGACUUUCAUAAUCAGAAUUUAAACUGGCUAUUAUCCCUCUGGAGGGAAGUGCAGGAAUAUACAAGCUAUUUCUUAUUAAAGGCAUUCAGAGCUUGAGAUUGUCCAUAUCGAGCUAUAUUAUAUUUCUUUAGCCUCAUUUCAUUUUUGGAGAAAAAUGCAGAAAUGGCUAGAGGAAGACAGUAUUACAAAUUUUGACACAAAACUUACAGGGCAAUAUAUUGUUGUAUCGAUUUUUCCCUCUAUUCUCCGGCAAGAGUGCAAUGUCACAUGACUGGUUUCGGCCCACGUCUUUUAACUCCUGUUAGGUCAAAUAUGAGUUUGUAAGUGGAGAAUAUGAAAUAGAAUAAAGCAAAUCAUACAGUCCUGGAGAUAACAUAAUAACAUGAAAAUAUAUACACUAGCUAUUGUUUAUGAAUGCCUAGUACUCAACAUGCAUUAGCCCUGAUCCCCACAACAGCCCCACAAGGGAGGUGGUGGUCUCACUAUUUUACAGGUGAGGCUCAGUCAGGAUAACUGAUGUGCCCCAGGUCACCCAAGUGGCAAACCUGAGAAUCAGUUCCAAAAGCUACGUGCUUUUUGCGAAACCACGGCAUCUUCCAGCCAAGCAAAUGGCCAGGCUGAAUAUCUGACAGCUUUAGGUCUGCAUUUGAGAUUUGUUAAUUCUUCCUUACUAUCUGAUCCAGGUAGCCCUUGGUUUGCUGUGUUAUUCUGGAGCUCAAGCUGGCCUCUAAGAUUAGAUGGUAUAUUCUAUUCAGGGCAUAGUUUAGGCAUAAAAGAGUGCUCAGCUGAGAUUCUAA